rnacentral:rRNA from 1 species
CUACGGGACGCAGCAGUGGGGAAUAUUGGACAAUGGGGGAAACCCUGAUCCAGCAAUGCCGCGUGUAUGAAGAAGGCCUGCGGGUUGUAAAGCACUUUCGGUUGGGAGGACUGCUUCUAGCACUAAUAUUGUUGGAAGUUGACGUUACCUUCAGAAGAAGCACCGGCUAACUCCGUGCCAGCAGCCGCGGUAAUACGGAGGGUGCAAGCUUUAAUCGGAAUUACUGGGCGUAAAGCGCGCGUAGGCGGCUAGAUCAGUCGGGUGUGAAAGCCCCGGGCUUAACCUGGGAACUGCAUCCGAUACUGUCUAGCUUGAGUACAGGAGAGGAGAGUGGAAUUCCACAUGUAGCGGUGAUAUGCGUAGAUAUGUGGAGGAACACCAAUGGCGAAGGCAGCUCUCUGGCCUGAUACUGACGCUGAGGUGCGAAAGCGUGGGGAGCAAACAGGAUUAGAUACCCGAGUAGUC